rnacentral:rRNA from 1 species
CCUACGUGAGGCAGCAGUGAGGAAUAUUGGUCAAUGGGCGCGAGCCUGAACCAGCCAAGUAGCGUGAAGGAUGACUGCCCUACGGGUUGUAAACUUCUUUUAUAAAGGAAUAAAGUGAGGCACGUGUGCCUUUUUGUAUGUACUUUAUGAAUAAGGAUCGGCUAACUCCGUGCCAGCAGCCGCGGUAAUACGGAGGAUCCGAGCGUUAUCCGGAUUUAUUGGGUUUAAAGGGAGCGUAGAUGGGUUGUUAAGUCAGUUGUGAAAGUUUGCGGCUCAACCGUAAAAUUGCAAUUGAUAAUGGCAGUCUUGAGUACAGUUGAGGUAGGCGGAAUUCGUGGUGUAGCGGUGAAAUGCUUAGAUAUCACGAAGAACUCCGAUUGCGAAGGCAGCUUACUAAACUGCCACUGACAUUGAUGCUCGAAAGUGUGGGUAUCAAACAGGAUUAGAUACCCCAGUAGUC